GAGUCACGAAGAGUUUGAUCCUGGCUCAGGACGAACGCUGGCGGCGUGCCUAAUACAUGCAAGUCGAACGAACUCUGGUAUUGAUUGGUGCUUGCAUCAUGAUUUACAUUUGAGUGAGUGGCGAACUGGUGAGUAACACGUGGGAAACCUGCCCAGAAGCGGGGGAUAACACCUGGAAACAGAUGCUAAUACCGCAUAACAACUUGGACCGCAUGGUCCGAGCUUGAAAGAUGGCUUCGGCUAUCACUUUUGGAUGGUCCCGCGGCGUAUUAGCUAGAUGGUGGGGUAAUGGCUCACCAUGGCAAUGAUACGUAGCCGACCUGAGAGGGUAAUCGGCCACAUUGGGACUGAGACACGGCCCAAACUCCUACGGGAGGCAGCAGUAGGGAAUCUUCCACAAUGGACGAAAGUCUGAUGGAGCAACGCCGCGUGAGUGAAGAAGGGUUUCGGCUCGUAAAACUCUGUUGUUAAAGAAGAACAUAUCUGAGAGUAACUGUUCAGGUAUUGACGGUAUUUAACCAGAAAGCCACGGCUAACUACGUGCCAGCAGCCGCGGUAAUACGUAGGUGGCAAGCGUUGUCCGGAUUUAUUGGGCGUAAAGCGAGCGCAGGCGGUUUUUUAAGUCUGAUGUGAAAGCCUUCGGCUCAACCGAAGAAGUGCAUCGGAAACUGGGAAACUUGAGUGCAGAAGAGGACAGUGGAACUCCAUGUGUAGCGGUGAAAUGCGUAGAUAUAUGGAAGAACACCAGUGGCGAAGGCGGCUGUCUGGUCUGUAACUGACGCUGAGGCUCGAAAGUAUGGGUAGCAAACAGGAUUAGAUACCCUGGUAGUCCAUACCGUAAACGAUGAAUGCUAAGUGUUGGAGGGUUUCCGCCCUUCAGUGCUGCAGCUAACGCAUUAAGCAUUCCGCCUGGGGAGUACGGCCGCAAGGCUGAAACUCAAAGGAAUUGACGGGGGCCCGCACAAGCGGUGGAGCAUGUGGUUUAAUUCGAAGCUACGCGAAGAACCUUACCAGGUCUUGACAUACUAUGCAAAUCUAAGAGAUUAGACGUUCCCUUCGGGGACAUGGAUACAGGUGGUGCAUGGUUGUCGUCAGCUCGUGUCGUGAGAUGUUGGGUUAAGUCCCGCAACGAGCGCAACCCUUAUUAUCAGUUGCCAGCAUUAAGUUGGGCACUCUGGUGAGACUGCCGGUGACAAACCGGAGGAAGGUGGGGAUGACGUCAAAUCAUCAUGCCCCUUAUAACCUGGGCUACACACGUGCUACAAUGGAUGGUACAACGAGUUGCGAACUCGCGAGAGUAAGCUAAUCUCUUAAAGCCAUUCUCAGUUCGGAUUGUAGGCUGCAACUCGCCUACAUGAAGUCGGAAUCGCUAGUAAUCGCGGAUCAGCAUGCCGCGGUGAAUACGUUCCCGGGCCUUGUACACACCGCCCGUCACACCAUGAGAGUUUGUAACACCCAAAGUCGGUGGGGUAACCUUUUAGGAACCAGCCGCCUAAGGUGGGACAGAUGAUUAGGGUGAAGUCGUAACAAGGUAGCCGUAG
rnacentral:rRNA from 1 species